GCAGGGCUUGCCCUGCUGGCGACUACGUGUCAUUCACGACCCAGUGACGAGGAGUACUGCCCAGAGAGCUGCCCGCCGCUGAUACUUCACGUCUGCAAGCAGCACGUGUUUAGCCGCAAGUACUACAAGUUCAGCCACCCGUGUCGUUUGAGGCAGUGCGAGUGCAAGAAUAACACACCUUUCUAUUCGGCGGACCUUCAUCACUGCAAUGGCCUUCCGGUAGACUACUGUCCACCACGCGACGACUGGGACACCGUGAGCUCCGAGAGCUCCGAGUGACACGAGAGGAGAACAAUAACUCAGCAACUGACUGUCCUCUGUCUUUUCGUUUCACAGACAGUGUCUCGACUAACUAAGAGGACUUGUGUAUCUAAUCUCUAAGAAAACGUUUGCUGUGCUUGCCAUAUCCGUAUCACUGGACUCUGUCGAAGAGAGCUGUUCGGGGAGUUGUCCCAAGGAAACUCUUUAUGACUGCAGACAGAAUAUGGCCACCAAGAGGUACUACAAAUUCAGCCAUCCAUGUCGUUCGUGGCAAUGCGAGUGCAAAACUGGAACACAUUUCAACUCGGUGGAUCUUCAUCACUGCAACGGUCUUUCGGUAGACUACUGUCCAUCUGGAGAGAUUCUGUUCCAGGGAAACUCCAAGAACGGCAGUGAAAUCGCAGAAGCUCGUCUCCUACACUCGCAAUGAGCUUCCAGUGGGCUACUUAUUCAUAUCAGUUCAUACACAACUUUCAAGUAGCUCUACACGACAUACCGCACAAAAUUUCUCAGAGUAGUUACUCAGUUAAAAUGUUACCAAAAAAGUGAAACUCUUGUCAUAUGAAAUGCAAACCAAUCUCCAUGUUACGCACUUCUUUCCAAUUACAUUAAUAAAUAUUUAAGAGUAUGUGUAAA